rnacentral:rRNA from 1 species
CCCGAACUCAGCAGUGAAACGACGCAUCGCCGAUGGUAGUGUGGGGUUUCCCCAUGUGAGAGUAGGUCAUCGUCAAGC